rnacentral:rRNA from 1 species
AGUGAACGCUGGCGGUAGGCCUAACACAUGCAAGUCGAACGGCAGCACAGUAAGAGCUUGCUCUUACGGGUGGCGAGUGGCGGACGGGUGAGGAAUACAUCGGAAUCUACUUUUUCGUGGGGGAUAACGUAGGGAAACUUACGCUAAUACCGCAUACGACCUACGGGUGAAAGCAGGGGAUCUUCGGACCUUGCGCGAUUGAAUGAGCCGAUGUCGGAUUAGCUAGUUGGCGGGGUAAAGGCCCACCAAGGCGACGAUCCGUAGCUGGUCUGAGAGGAUGAUCGGCCACACUGGAACUGAGACACGGUCCAGACUCCUACGGGAGGCCGCAGUGGGGAAUAUUGGACAAUGGGCGCAAGCCUUAUCCAGCCAUACCGCGUGGGUGAAGAAGGCCUUCGGGUUGUAAAGCCCUUUUGUUGGGAAAGAAAAGCAGCAGGUUAAUACCCCGCUGUUCUGACGGUACCCAAAGAAUAAGCACCGGCUAACUUCGUG